UGCUUGGGAAUCUACCCAGUAGCGGGGGAUAACCUAGGGAAACUUAGGCUAAUACCGCAUACGACCUACGGGUGAAAGCAGGGGAUCGCAAGACCUUGCACUAUUGGAUGAGCCAAGUCGGAUUAGCUAGUUGGUGGGGUAACGGCCUACCAAGGCGACGAUCCGUAGCUGGUCUGAGAGGACGAUCAGCCACACUGGGACUGAGACACGGCCCAG
rnacentral:rRNA from 1 species